UACGUAGGGUCCGAGCGUUGUCCGGAAUUAUUGGGCGUAAAGGGUGCGUAGGCGGCGCGGUAAGUCGGGUGUGAAAUCUCGGAGCUUAACUCCGAAACUGCAUUUGAUACUGCCGUGCUUGAGGACUGGAGAGGAGACUGGAAUUCAUGGUGUAGCAGUGAAAUGCGUAGAGAUCAUGAGGAAGACCAGUGGCGAAGGCGGGUCUCUGGACAGUUCCUGACACUGAGACACGAAGGCCAGGGGAGCAAACGGG
rnacentral:rRNA from 1 species